rnacentral:rRNA from 1 species
GACGAACGCUGGCGGCGUGCUUAACACAUGCAAGUCGAACGGAAAGGCCCUGCUUGCAGGGUACUCGAGUGGCGAACGGGUGAGUAACACGUGGGUGAUCUGCCCUGCACUUCGGGAUAAGCCUGGGAAACUGGGUCUAAUCCCGGAUAGGAGCCAUUUUUAGUGUGAUGGUUGGAAAGUUUUUUCGGUGUAGGAUGAGCUCGCGGCCUAUCAGCUUGUUGGUGGGGUAAUGGCCUACUAAGGCGGCGACGGGUUGCCGGCCUGGGAGGGUGGACGGCCACAUUGGGACUGAGAUACGGCCCAGACUCCUACGGGAGGCAGCAGUGGGGAAUAUUGCACAAUGGGCACAAGUCUGAUGCAGCGACGCCGGGUGGGGGAUGACGGCCUUCGGGUUGUAAACUCCUUUCGCUAGGGACGAAGCUUUUGUGACGGUACCUAGAUAAGAAGCACCGGCUAACUACGUGCCAGCCGCCGCGGUAAGAC